GCAAACUUGGUCAUUUAGAGGAAGUAAAAGUCGUAACAAGGUUUCCGUAGGUGAACCUGCGGAAGGAUCAUUACUAUUUAAAGCUGGGGGCCAUGGGCCUCCGGUAGUCUGAUCAACCACUUGUGCACGCAUAGAUUUCUAACGGGCUUUGGCGGAUGUAAAAGUCUGCCAAAGUUUUCGUUUAUCAAUAAACUUGUCUUAUAUUUGACUGAGUUUUGUUUAAAUUAAAUAAAACAACUUUCAACAACGGAUCUCUUGGCUCUCGCAUCGAUGAAGAACGCAGC
rnacentral:misc_RNA from 1 species